rnacentral:lncRNA from 1 species
GACAUUCUGUUGACCCAGACUCCACUCUCCCUGUCCAUCACCCCCGGAGAGCCGGCCUCCAUCUCCUGCAGGUCUAGUCGCAGCCUCCUGCAUAGUAAUGGAAACACCUAUUUACAUUGGUAGCUGCAGAAGCCAGGCCAGCCUCCACAGUGUCUAAUCUGCAAGGUUUCUAACCGGUUUUCUGGGGUCCCAGACAGGUUCAGUGGCAGUGGGUCGGGCAUUGAUUUCACACUGAAAAUCAGCCCGGUGGAGGCUGCGGAUGUUGGGGUUUAUAUUACUGCAUGCAAGCUACACACUGGUCCCC